GAGACUUGGGUCAGCCCACAUUAUUGAACAUAUUGAGGAAGUUUAAUUAGAGCAUCAGCCACCUGAGUGCAUGUUGUACAUGAAGUGUAUAGUUGGGAAGGAGACACGCGUCUAGGCUUCUGAACACCCACCGACACACCGACUCACUCUCACCUAUAUCACCUUCCUCUCUUCUAGUCUGUCCCAAAAACCAUGCAGUGAAAGAAAAAUCCAAACCCAGAGUUUCCUUCACCGAAUCAAUUACCCUCUCCUUUGUUUCAUUAAAACCUUCACCAAUCUCACUCUUCUUCCUGUGUAAUCCUCACCACCCACCAUAGAUACCAGCCAUGAUGGUUAUUACCUGAAGGGAAAUAUGGGUGUCUGACCCAUCAAUUGAGAUUGAUCGUCUUAGGCUUGGAUUCUGGAUCGAUUAAGAUUGGACGGAGGAAGAGAGAAUUGGAGAAGUGGGUUCUAGCGUUCAUUGCUGCAAUUGGAAGUUAGAGGCGUUGGGUGUGGGCAUCAGUCACUAAAGUGGUCAAGGAAGGAUUCCAGUGACCCAGGCUUAAUCAACGACGGUGAUAACUCGGAGAUUGUCUAAGCAUGGAUUCCAGGAACUGAGCAGGAGCCAGCUGAGGACCAGACUUAGACGCUUGGGUGUUGGCAACGUCAAGUUGUGAAUAGCUUCUUUUGGACUUGACUGUUGGUUUGGCAGGUGUUGAUCAGUCUCCCUUCUUUUGAAAUUGUGAAUGUGACUUUGUUUUGUUGUGGGAACCUUUGUAAAUUUGUAAUUAUCCGCCUGCCUAUCUUUUGGUGUGUGUUACUUUGCGUGAACUUGAAACCCGAACCUUGGACUCAUGACUUUUGUGGAAUGUAAAUAAAGUACCCUUUUGUU